UACAGAGGCCCCAAGCGUUACUGAGAAUCACUGGGUUUAAAGGGUGCGUAGGUGGCGCGUUAAGUCCGUUGUGAAAUCCCUUGGCUCAACCAAGGAAUGGCUUCGGAUACUGGCGUGCUUGAGGCCGGUAAGGGUCACUGGAACUGACGGUGGAGCGGUGAAAUGCGUAGAUAUCGUCAGGAACGCCAAUGGUGAAGACAGGUGACUGGGCCGGUUCUGACACUGAGGCAUGAAAGCGUGGGGAGCGAACGGG
rnacentral:rRNA from 1 species